UCCUGGUUAGCUCAGUUGGUAGAGCGCUCCACUGGAAAUGGAGAGGUCUUUGGUUCCAUACCAAGACCAGGCG
rnacentral:tRNA from 1 species